rnacentral:rRNA from 1 species
CAAGGCUUGACAUUAUUUUGAAUUAACUGGAAACAGUUAAGUCUUCGGACAAAAUAACAGGUGGUGCAUGGUUGUCGUCAGCUCGUGUCGUGAGAUGUUGGGUUAAGUCCCGCAACGAGCGCAACCCUUGUCAUUAGUUGCCAGCAUUACGGAUGGGUACUCUAGUGAGACUGCCGGUGAGAAAUCGGAGGAAGGUGGGGACGACGUCAAAUCAUCAUGCCCCUUAUGUCUUGGGCCUCACACGUACUACAAUGGCUAUUACAGAAGGCAGCGAAGGAGUAAUCCGGAGCGAAUCCCCAAAGAUAGUCCCAGUUCGGAUUGUGGGCUGCAACCCGCCCACAUGAAGUCGGAAUUGCUAGUAAUUGCAGGUCAGCAUACUGCAGUGAAUACGUUCCC